GUAUUAAGCUUUUAGACUUGUUAAGUCAAUAAUACAUUCUAUAGAUAAUUUGACUGGUAUAUAAAACAUAGUCAGAGCAGGAAAAUAAAAUCUUCCUUUAAUGCCAGACUACAAAAGAUGCACAGGGGUAUGAGGUUUCGGAGUGCACAUGCUUGUUAAGGCCAGCACAUCCUUUAGAAUCGGUAAUGAUCCUUCCGCAGGUUCACCUACGGAAA
rnacentral:misc_RNA from 1 species